AUGUGACCUCUAAAAACGACAGAAGUUAUGCAGGGACAAAGAGCAGAAGACAGAGGUAAGGAUAUAAAUAUAAAGAGAGCGUCCCCAGAGGGUGACGUACUGUACAACAUUCACUUUCCUGCUGUAACCCAGUGUCUCCCCUUUUUGACCCCCUGGAAUACUGGAUCUCAUAAAGGCUGCAUAUAUUUAAAGCAUGUGAUCUGGUCCUUUUAGAUGCUUGCACUGCAGCCUCACUGAUUUAUGAGCUAAGGUUUCAACCCUCACUUGUGUGUAUGCGCAGGUGUGUUUAUGCAAUUCUUUGCUUUUGUGCAUAUUGGUAAGCCUUUAGCUGUUGUUAAUGCAUGCCUUUGUGUGUGGGUGUGGGUGUCAGCUCUGACCUUGACCGGGCAGCAUAUCAUUUCUAAGCACCGGUGGCCCGUGUUAACCUUUGCUACAAUCUACAGCUUUACUCUGUGUGUGGUCAGGCACAGACAACUGGGCAGACAAUCGGUGUGUGUGAGUGAGUGAGUGAGUGUGUGUGUGUCUAGUACGGUGGACAGACUGAAGGAAUAAAAGGGGUAUUUAUCAGAUUUAUUGUGCAGCACUGUGUAGAGGCAAGUACACUCAGACUUGUGCCAUAAUUAAAUUGUAGACAUCAUAAACUUGAAUUUGCUCUCGUCCAUAGAUCCAUAAAUUUGACGCCCAGUUCUUGUAGUCAAAAUAUCAACACACCUCUUUAGGUGAUGUUACUGCGUUUGUUGUCUUACUCUCAUGAGCUAUUAUGACAGAUCUAAGUGUCUGGCAUUGAUGUGGUCUGGCGUUGCUGUAGUUAGUCAAUGUGUGUACAGGCAGCAGAUGCUGUCUCCAUAAUGAUCCAAGUCUAGCUCUAAUGAGCAGCACACCCUAAUUGAUUACAAUCAGCACCAAUGAGACAAAUCAACCCAUCACAACCCGAGUGCCAGCCCCCUUUUACUCCCUCCGCCUGUUUUGAAUCCCCUCCAAGUAAACAAAAGUAGAAAGGAGAGGCAGAGGCAGUGAGCAGGUGGAGACAAAAGGUACAAAGAGGUGCACAGAUGGAAAGAGAAUGAGGGGAAAAAGCUAAUGAGAAAAGGAUGAUCGCUGUGAAAACACACAUGGUGGGAUAAAAAGGGACAGGAACAAUAUUUCAAGCUCGGAUUAUGUCAGAUUCAUUCUUGGCAACUGCACCCAUAAAGCAUAACCAAACUUAAAGAGGAAUGGAGAUGACAGGUUGAAACAAUAGAGGAGUUCAAAAGAAGGAGGAGGGGGGGAAACAGAUGGAACGACAAAGGUGUAUUUAAAUACAUGAAUGGUUUCAAAUUCAUAAAGGCGUAAUCAGAAGCAAGAGAGGGAGAAAAAGAACAGUUUUCACUGGAGGGAUAAAAACAAAGUGUAAAGGGAAUGUCACAAGGCUUAGGGGUCGUGAUAGUAGUAUCAAAAUAAUACUUAUUGUUUCAUUCAUAUAUUUGUUUCAUGAAAACAAAAACAUCAAUUCUCUGUUAUUCUAGGUGGUUUUUUUUCUGUAUUUUAAAAUUGAAUGAUAUUUAGUUUAAUUGGUUUUUACAUCCCCCAUACUGUUUAAACAUAAUUCGAAAUGUGCAUUCUUAUCUACAGAACUUACCAAAACCAAAUAAAUAAUAAGUGAGCACCCAGAGAUAAUCAAAUAUCCCCAUUCCUGUACCUUGUGGAAAUUGUAUCUUUUGUAGCUUUUUUUAAAACAGUUUUUAUAUUUACACACCUCCCGAGUUCCUCAUUAAACUGUUCCAGAGCUUCACCUCACAAACAGAAACACAGAAACUUUUCCUGGUAGUGUGCACCCUGACAGUUUUGAAAUUAAGUAAUCCCCUUAAAUCAUAACAAACCGCCCUAUCAGCGAACAUUUUUUGAAUUUUUUCCAAGUAGCGAUUUAGUUUUUGCUUUAAAAACAUGAUAAAUGCUGUCUGAAAGUUUAUCAAAUCUGCAAGUUUGUAUGUUUUUGACUGCAAGAAUAAUACAUUUCAUAUGGUCCUGAUUCCCAACACUGUGAAUGAUCUGUAAAGCUCCUUUUUUGCUGAAAAAUAGCAAAUUUAGUGUGUUUUGGUAGUUAUUGCCCCAAACCUUUGAGUGGUAACUGAAACUAGAGCAACAGAGAAUAUGGAGUGAUUUAAGAUGUAGAACCUGUGUAACCUUUUUUAACACUGCUAUGUCCUUGACAUUUUGCAUUGUAAAUGAUUAAUAUGUGAUUCUAGUUUUUCAUCUAUUGUAGCCCCAAGAAAUUUUAUUUUAUGACAUCUACUGUAUGUUGACUCAUUCCUUUUGUAUUUAAUCCAUAGUUUCCCAAAACAUUAGUUUUGUUUUGUCCAAGCUGAAGGACUAACUGUUAACUGUUGAACCAUGUCUUUCAUUUGCUAAUUUCUGAGGUGACUUCCUCCAGAAAAUUAUUCAGUUUACCACUAGAACAAAACAUGUUUGAGUCAUCUACAAACAAAACAAGUUACAGUACAUUUUAUACUUUACAUAAAUCAUAAAUAUAUCACAUGAAUAAUUUAGUUCCCAGCACUGACCCCUGGGGAACACCUCAAACAAUUUCCAAACAUGGUGAGCAACAAUCUCCCAACUUCACAAACAGUUUUUUUUUUGUUUUCAAAGUAACUCUUGAUCCAGUUCAACACAACACCCCUGAUGCCAAACUGUUCCCAGUACAUAAACCAGUAAACUAUGGUUCAUUGUGUCGAAGGCCGAUGAAUAUCCCAUCUGCAUGAUUUUCCUGGUCUAUAGAGUUUGUGAUUCCUUUGAUAAAUGAUAAAUUGCAGAUAUACAGUAUGUUGAUGGUUUUAUGAUUCUGUCUGUGACUUUUUGUCUACGUAUCAAUGUCACUGAGAAUCAAAAGACUUUUUGUUUUUUUGCAUUUCAUAACAAUAUCAACAAUUUCCUUUGCAUAUAUUGCUGUGAGGAAUAUGGAGCCCAAAUUUAUAUUAAUGAUUUUUUUCCAGAUUUUCAGCUGUCCUCCAAUCAGGGACUUUUCAUGCUAGGUCAGGUCCGACAAUAACCAAUAAAUAAAUAGAUAAACAAACUGAUAAAGUUACUCCAUGUUACUUAUAAAGUACUAACUCAUUCGUAUUGACCCAGUUUUGAUAAUGCUGUUCAGCGUGUUCCAUAAUCCUUCAAUUUCACUUUUGUUAUUGUCUGAGAUCUUCUUAUCCACUUUUUCUCUAGUCCCUCUAAUCCUGGUUUACUUAUUUUCAUGGUUUUUAUAUUUAUUUUCUGCCUCUUCUGUUCUCUGCUUUAAAAACUCUGUAUUGUGGGUUUUUUCCUCUUUGCAGGCAUUUGUAGACCCUUAGUGAUCCAUGGACAUUCUGAAAAGUCACGUUUUCUGCAGUAUUUCAUGAUUUGACAGUUUUUUACCCCCUCUCUCUACCAUACACCUUUUCCCAUCUUCUUUGAUCAUCUUUUCCACCUUCCUUUGACUUCUUCUAUUUCUGUGACUUCCCAUCUCAGCACACUGAGCUGACAUAUGGUUUUUGAAAAGUGUCUCCUUGAGUAAAUAUAUGAUGAAUGUGUUGUGUGUGAUCAUUUUACCCCUCUGACUAUAAAACUCAGCUGCUCUGAGUGAAUCAAGACUUGGCACACUCAUGCCCCCAAACAUCCACACAUACAGUGACUUUUUUUUUUUGAGAUCCUGACUUGUUCAUCAAAGUACACGGUUGCCUCAGCACUUUUUUGGUCUCGGUGUACAUAUUUUUUCCUCUCCCAACCUUUAGCUGACAUUUCUGGAGACAAUCAGUUGCUGAGUGGAAAAUCCUUUUUUCCUUGGGGAGGAAGGUGGCGUUUGAAUCCUUUAAUUACAAUGCUAUUUUAGCUGGCAUUGUGCACACAGGGACAAAGUUCUAAACUUGUUAUGAAUAAGGAGGAUGUUAAUCUUAAUGCCACUACAGUUUAUGGCCUGCAAAGCCAAACAAGGCCAUCAGGAAUAAGAUAUUUCUGCAGGUCAGAGAAAGCAAUGGCUUUUCGGUCAAAAGUGUCUUGUUUUACAAUCUCUAGAAGAGUAAAUAAUGAGUAAUUAAGUGAAGUUAAUCAACACAGAAGCUCAUCACUCCACAUGGCCUAAAGUGAUUUGGCUUUGUAUCUAACAAAUCUGAUUGAGGUAACAAUAGUCUUGUAUUUGAAGCACCCUUAAAAGUGGGGUAGGCAGGGUUCUGAUAAAGAAGCACCUUUUUUGUGGUGUAUACACAAAAAAGCUUUUAAUAUCAGUCAAUAGCCAUUAGUUAUUGAUGACAUUUGGGAAUAUCACAAUAUCGCUGUGUCUGUGUAGUCAACAUUUUAAAUUUUUUGAGCGGCCCGUUCUUUCUAAUUGUAAACAAAGCCGUUCUCUGCCUCCGCCAACCUGAUUGGUAGUGAGGCAGAUUCUGCUCUUUAGUGCUGAUUGGUUGUGAGGCAGACGUUGUUCCCCCCGUGUGGUUCACGAGUCCAGACAAAGUUAACAUGCUACAAUAUCGGACAGUAGAAACCAGCCAGAAAGUGAAAUUGUUUUCUUGCUUGUGUUGGCAGUCGUGGCCAAAGGAGGAUUCUGACAAAGUAAAUACUGGAGACUCUGGCGGAAUAACGAGCACUUAAAAAGGAGGUAGACUGGACAAGAGCUAAAAAGCAGGGUCAACGUAAAUGAUUAAAUGAUGGGGGAGGCUUUGGGAUCUUAUGGACCCUGUAACCUUUCUGCUGGACAGGUAAACCGCUUUAACAAAGUAAGUCAAGUGUCUGGAAGUGUUUCUUUUGAACGGGACCUGCUGCGUGUUGUAGCGCCCGGGUCAAGUCCUGGACUAUGUCACUUUAUCCUAGUUGUAGAAGUCCUGCAAACAUUGUGUUUGCUGGUAGUCUGUUGGCAUCUACAGUAGCACCAGUGCUUUUUACUUUCACAUUAAAUGGGCCCCAUUUUCAAUUAUCUGAAGUAUUUAUCUGCAUUAUAUCUGAAUUUAAUUGGAACGAUAGGAGUGGAGACAAGCGUCUGUUUAUGGAUGGGGCUUGCUUGAGCAGAGACUGAGGGGAGAGGAGGAGCUGAGGGGAAAACUGGUUUGGGAGGGAUAGUGUUUACAUUCAAGAUUUCUCCCCAAAACUGGCACUUCCUCAGAUCCUGCCUACCCCACCUUUGAGGGGGUUUUGCAUUGUCCAUCUUUAUUUUUUUUCCCCCUGGCCUCCCUCAGUCUCUCUGUGUUGUCUUCCUCAGUCUCUCUGUGUUUUCUUCCUCAGCACACUCUAGAGCGUCUAGGAAGGGACUUUGAUGUAGUUGACAGCUCAGUAAUAAGGAUGCUUUUAUGCAUCUGAUUUGAGCCUCCAUUAUGAAAUAAAGACAUUUUGGGUCAUGUUUGUUGACAUCAUUCAGCUACGCGACUGCGGCUGAUUAAUGGAUGGGAUGCUGGCAGCUUUAAACAUUCAUAAAGUUCAAGCCUCGACUGUAGAAAAUGAUCUAUAACUAAUCCCCUCUCGAUAAAGCUUGCUUUAAGGGGGGCUUUAAGAUGCCUUCCCAUCUUCUCUAAUCAUGACUCUCUCUCUUUUAUUGCAUUCCCCCCUCUUCAAGGUCUUUAUCUGCAUUGGUUUUUCUAAGUCUCACUCAUAAGAAAUCUGAUUUAUGACAGUCUUGCUCUAUUUGCUCACUCUCCUUCCACAGCACACUUUGCUUUGUCAUGUUUUCUUCCCCCGUCUCUCUACAUGAACAGGAGGUAAGAUAAAAACGCAGACUAAACAACCCUCUUCAUGCUCAUACACACAAAUCCUAUAGAUAUGCUAAGUUGAUCAUAUUUAGGUACUGCUGAGUGCUUUUGCAUCACCAGUCUGCGUUUAAAGUAUGUCCAUCUAUUUAAGUGUCUCAUUUGAACCCAAACUCUGUCCCAUGCAUCUUUGCUGAACUCCACAGCCUGCAUUGUAAUGCACUCUGACAAUAAACAAGAUUGACUGUGACACAUUCAAAGGCCGAUAUAUAUUCAUAAAACCACAUAUAUCAGUAUCAAAGUGUGUCUGUCUAUCUGUGAUUAGCAUGUUUUCAAAUGAGUGCCUGUCUAUUGUUGUCUCAUUAUGCAUGUCUCCACCCCAUGUUUUACAGAGCUUGGUUAUUUUAGUAUACUAUGCUCUGUUUACUGACACACAAACAGCGCGCGCUUGAGAACACACGUCAACCUUUAGUUUCUGCCCUGGCUUCCUCGAAAACGAAUAUCCUCGUAUCACGACCGUAGAACAAAAUAUACCAUCUUGUCUCUAAAACACUUGAAACUCAUCCAGUAAGGGACAUCUGUGGUGGAUAAAAUAAGCAGUUGAAAUAAAUCUCUGUGAGUCAUGUGGCAAAGUAACAAGAAAACAAGCAGGGGAGGAAAAGCAGAGAGAUGAUAUUGCUAUCUGUUUACUGUAAAUGGAUGGGCAGUAUUUCAUUUUUUAUUCAGUCCCUGUCCGCUCCAGAGUUUUCAAUCUGGUUCCUUGUGAAGAUGUUGAUUGUAAGCAGACCUUUCAAGUUACUGUCAUUGGUGAGAGGAUGCAGUGUGCUUCAAAGCAUUAUUAUGUCUUACAUUGUCACAAGAUGUAGAACGCUAAAAAAAUAAGGAAUAUAAAGACAAAAAAGGGGAGAAAAAUGAAUGUCUGCUUAAAUUAAAGGCAGCUGAAGUUGACAAAGAUCCCUUCAAAUAACCAAAAACAGUGACCUGUGGAGUUUGAGACACAGGGUUUCUUUGCAUAAAUAAUCAUUUGCUUAAUUAAUAAGACUAGGGAGUACACAAAGCAAAGUCUGCAGGAGGUGAUUAUCAUUUCAUAAGUUAACUAAUUAAAUCUACCACCUGAUAAGCUGGCUUUGUUUCUUAUUUACUUCAAAUUUAACAACUGCCUUGUUAGAGCCCAACAUGUAACAAUAACCCAAAAUAUAAUAGAACCCGAAAUGUAGUAACUGGUCGAUAAUGUCACAAGAUGCUAAGCCCAAAACGUAUCAACUUUUUGCCCAAAAUGUAGCAACUUGUUACGUUUGGGCUUUCGAGUGAACCAAAUUAUUACAUUUCGAGCUUUAUUACAUCUAUUUUUAUAACACUUCAUGUCAUUGUUACAUAUCGGGCUCUAACAUGUCUACAAAACAACCCUUGAACUUGGACAGUAAAUGAUUCCAGUUAAAGAUGUAAGGACUGCAAUUAAGACUGAUCCUUCAGUGUUAUGAUCCAAGACUGAUUCUUCAACGCUGUAGAAAUACACAAAUGUCUGUAAUUUGUGCUUGAACAGAAGUCACUUUAAAUGAACUGAUCUGAAAUCAUUUUAAAUAUUAAUCUGUGAUUAACACUUACAGCCUGGUACAUUUUUAUCUUUCUUUGCAAAAAUGGCUGUGUGAGUAGAGUUAGAAGGAUAUUUGGGUCGAAUCUGAUGAGAGCAUGUGUUGAAAACAGAUGGUUAGGCAGUUCUGAAUAAUAGCUCUUUUUAAGGUAAUGAUAGUUAUCAGGGCCUGAGCACUGAGUGGUGCAAAGGCCCUAUUGAAAUACUUGGGAUUAUUAUUAAUCUUUCAUUCUGUGAAUGAUCGCAGUUAAGGGGCCCUCAUCCUACUUAAAAACUCUUGAUUUUUUUGCAGGUGCAUUGGGUCUUGCAGGAAAUUUGGUAGUUUAUGGGUUUGUCACAUGGGUGCGACAAAUUGUCUCAAUGGUGCCCCCAAGAAAUUAACCCAUUUGUCUUUUUUUCUUUCUUUUUUUUUUCAGAUAGAGACUUCACAAUUGCUAUACCUACCUGGUUUCCUUAGACUGAAAAAUGUCUUAGGAUGGCAGUUAUUGUGACAAAAAUCACUGAUUUAAUGGUUUUCUAUUCAUACAGUGUUAAGGUAGAAGAAACCUGAAUGAUGAAAAAUUAUGGACUCUUCGAUAACUCAAAGGCCCUCAGAGUUCAAAGUUUCAUCAUCUGAAGACCAACACAAACUACAGUCAGCAUGGAACACUAUUCUCUUAAUGUGAUGACUGACAAGGCUAAUUCAAGAAAAUAUAACAGUAGAUCACUGUAAAAAACAUGUACUCAAAAUUCAUACUUUCUCAAGUUAUCGGUAAUAGAGAAUUAAUGCAGAAUCCACUAAACUAUAUUACACUAUGUAAUCUCAUCAGUGGGUGACAGAAAAACACAACUGCUGCUAUUGAAUGUUUGACUCCUACACCUACCAUACCACCCGUUGCUCCAUUUUUUGUAACUUCAGCAUCCAUAUUCAUGAUGCCAAAGAAAAAAAAUGCCCAAAUAGCAGUCCCCUGGGGGAUUCCUCAGUGUGGCGAUCCCAUCCCAGAACUAUGAGUCCCUCCCAAAAAAAAUUGUGCCUUUUGUAACUGUACAUAGUUUCUUUGUUCUGCCUGCUUUGCUGUUAAGCCCUUUGGAUCAAAGCUGACAGCAGUGGACACAGCCAGAGUAAUUAAAAAUACAUGCGCCAUAGUUUCACAUUUUACUUUAUUAUGUUUGUAUCCCUAAGGCCCACUCCAUAUGUCUUUGCACUAAACCCAGACACGUUCCAAACUACUUUUUAAACUUGUUAUCACACUGGAGGGCUUUGCAGAGACGCCUCCUGGGUAUAGGUAAAGGUUGUUCAGGAUGGUACAAAUUAUGCUCCUUUUGUAGAGCCAGAUAGAGAACAAUGAACAGCUGGCUUAUGAGUAUCUAUAUGUGGAUAGAAGUAGGAACAGGCACUGGACUAUUUGAUCCCUGAUGAAGCUCUCCUGGAUGUAAGCUAAAUUAGGCAUAAGAUACCGGCAGAUCAUUAUCCUAAUCACUAUAAGCGAAAGGGUUAUAGAUGUACAAGAGAAGCAGCUCCCAAAAUGUCUUCAACUUAUUCCAAAGCAAAGAAAAAAAAACCACACACUCUUCGACACUCACAGUAUCACAUGGAUUAUCUCAGAAUAUCCCAAAAGACAUGAAAAGAAACAUGACUACCAAUUAGGUUUUUAUCUUGUCUUUUCCUUUUCCCUGUCUCCUCUAUUUUCCAUUUUUUUUUACAGAUUUUUUUUUCUCAUAGCAUGUUAAUUCAUAGCAUUCACACUUGUCUGUUAAAGAUGGUGCUAAUUUAUGUUCUCAAAUGAAAACAACACCCUAGACAUGGGAAAGAACCUUCUGACUAAAAACAGAUUCUUAUUCUGUACAGUGCUGUAGAGGUUGCUUCUAGAAACGCUGGAAUAUUGGCCCAAUGUUUUUGUUUUUUCAAGUAAUUUUUGUUAAAGUUACUUGUACUUGUAAAUAAUCAUUUCCAAACAGUGUUUAAUUUUGGUUGCAAUUUAAUGCUUGAUUGGCCAUUUCUUCCUCCAGUGUUGCUUAAUGAUUUGACCCCUUGACCUCUGUUCCCUGUAUGCUGGGUCCACACAAGCUGCUUUGACCUGUGCCAUAAGGACUUUGUUUAUUCAGUGUUUACCAACUAACUUACUUAAUUACUUGUUUUAGGGAUUUCUCCUUGUCUAGCAGCUCACGUCCCACAAUCCAUGGCUUAGUUUUGUUGCUCAUUGCAUUGCCAACUGUACAUUAUGCAUGAGAGUAUGCAUAACGCAUGAACUAGUUUAGUCCCUAGACCAAUAAUUGAAAGACUCAUGAACAUUUUAACCUGUUUUCUAAGAUUUGAUUUUACACCUCUAUGAGACCUCUCUAUGUUUUACUCACCACUAAACAAGCAGAGAGAUUCACUUUUCUCCUCAAAAAGAAAUCCACUGAGAUUUAAGGCUUAGACAAAUAUGAUUGAAACCUCGCCAGUUGAUGCAUUGCAGCAAAGACUGAAGAAAACUCGAUGGUCUGACCACUUUGACGCAUGUUUCUUUUUUAUUUUAGCACUUGUAUCUGCUCCCUUUCUAAUUUAACUUUGUAGUUUUGUUUGAUUUUAACACAAUGAUUUUAUUUGUGUGUACAAGGACUUUUGGGAGGGUUCAGGGUGGUUCUACCAUCCUCCACAAGAGUUUUCUCUUGCCUUUUUUUCUUUUUUCCUCCAAGGUUUUUUUUUUUUUUUCUUCUUUUUUUCCCCCCGAGGUACUUUCCAUGGCCUUCACCUGACCAGGUUUCUCUAACCCAUUGUGACCUGAAGAUAUAAGGACUUUUCAAUGGAUUCACUUUUCCUUCAAAUGUCAUUUCAGCUGAGGGCUGCAUGGUGGUGCAGUGGGACAAAUUAUGAGGUUUCUGGUUCAAAUUUCUCCACUUUAACAAUGACAUCUUUGAAAACAACAAUCAGUACAAGGUGGAUUUGCAUCUGAGUCAUUACUAAAACCUGAGGCUGUUCCAUUUAUAUAGACCUUUCAUGAAGGCUCUGAACCCCAAGCUGUAUGUAACAGUAUAAGUGCAGGCAAUGUAACGAUUGCACUAACAAAUGCUACUCUGGCAAAAAAGAGGACUUAGUGAAUGCCAAAAGCCGGCCUCAGACACUUUCCAUGCAGUAACUCCUUACAGGCUGUUUCUAGACCGUAAAGCUAUGUAAAAAAGGUCACCCACAAUCUGUGACUGAUGUUAGAUCACUGGAAAAGCAGCCAAAACAAAGUCUUUUCUGAGCUGCACACCAUCCAGUUACUGUAAAGAUGCCCCGGACUGGCAUCGUCAAAAGAGAAGAUGAAGACAAUAUGUCUCCUUUAACCUACCUUAAAAGUUUGGGUAAUGAAUUUCACUUCAUUGUGUGAUUGCGUGUUUGUCUAUAGACUGGUGACCUGUACAGGUAGUACCCUGGGACUGGGAUUAGCUUCAGCCCCCUGUGCUGCCAGACGUGCUAAGCGGUAUAGGUAAUUUUUGGAUGAAUGGAUUUCUGUUCUAUUUAACCUUAGCUUUAACUACGCACCCAGCAUGUUAAGGGUUGGUUUCAACCUGUGUCUUAAAUCAGCUGUAAAUUACAAUAAAAACGAUUCUUUAUCAUCCAAUUUGGUUCUCAUCUCUCGGUUACCUUGUUAGGCUUCAUUAUCCAUGAAAAUAUUGCUUAAUUUUUUUUUGUAGUAGUCCUCUGGGCUUUUCUUUGUUAGUAUACCCCUCAUCCUCAUACAGACAUCUAUACUGAACUGAUCUCACAUGUCUGGACAUGCCCGAUGUUGUUUUUUGUGCAGAGAAAAACAUGGAAAAAUGAGAAUUUCCUAAAUCUCACAUGAUUGGAAGAGGAUCUGACUGUCAGUGUGGUGCCUGACAGUGCACUUAUUAUUUCAGUUUUUUCUCUAAUUAUAAGAUAUUGAUCUAACCGGAUCAACAGCGACCCUAACACGACAAGUGCCAAUUUUUUUAUUUAGAGUUUCCUGACAAAGUCAAAAAAGCUAAUUUAAGUGGUUCUUUUAAGCAUUUAAAAACAAAAAUGGGUCGGCGCAGACCCUAACACAGGAGGAGGGUUAAAGUCAGGCCAAAUUAAGUUAGGUGAUUAAUAAAAGGUAGAUUAAACUCAAUGACCUGAGCCUACUCUGGCUCUGUCAGUCACUCUGUGUUCUCUUUCCUCAUCCACUGGCCAUAUGCUUGUUUUUUUCAGAAGGGAUUCAGUCUUUGUAAAGAUCAUGUCAGGUGUUUAAGUGUGUGCUGUGUGACAUGCAUGUGUCUCUGCGCUCCUGUCUGGAGAGGUGUCUAAGAGCUCCUCACCUGCGAACACUCUCCACGUGUCUAAAUCAAGGAUGUGAGCUGUUUCCCUGGAUAUCUCUCAUGAGACUAUCACACUGGAGAGAUUUGGAGAGAGUGGUCAUUAGCACUGGCUAACAAACAUAUGCUCACGACUUCAGUGUCAUCAGAUUUACAUGCAGUGCAGAGAUUCUUCAUCGCUUGACAAGAUUGUUUUCUUGAGAGAGUAUGACUGAGUUUUGGUUUCAAGGACGUUUUUCAUUUCUGCUUUUUUUUUUCCUCAAAGAAAUGCCAUUUCUGCCGGUGUAGACAAAUAUUGUAAGCAUAUAGUGUCUGGACUUGGAUUUUCAAAAUGUACUGAAGUGGACAACCUGUCAAAUAGUUUAAAAACAGAAAAACGUAAGCAAUGAAUCAUUUUGAAGAAAAUCAUUUACGUUAAGUAAAUGCCAAACCUUUCAGUGUUGAACUCUUGACUUUCCCCUGAGCAGACAGCUCAGUUUUUUAUGUUUUCCCACUCUAAUGUUCAAUGUCAAUAUAUCUCUUAUUUAUUGAAUUUAAAUACAUCACAAUUAUUUUAGCAUCCGCCUGUGUUUCACUGCUGGGAUAAAGAAACCCUGAUGCAAAUCAAAGCCUGAGCAACCUCAUAAAAGUGCUUCUAUCUAAACUUUUUAAAUUAAAAUUCUCUGAUCAGGCUUUGCAGUAGUUUUGAAUUUUUGGAUGUGUCAAAGUUAAGGGGGAAAAGUCCACCCACUGCACCAACAGCAUGGGAAUUCCUUAGGGGUCAGUGCUAGGUCCUCUUCUAUUUACUCUGUAUACCAGCAACCUACCUGAGAGUUGCCUUGCAGAUGAUACUAUCAUCAUUACACCUGUGUGAUUAGCAAAGAUAGCUAUUGAGCUUCAACUGACAUCUUGCACUCUGGCUUGAGUCUUCCCAUUGAACACUGAAGAUCAAUAAAUGUAAGAAGCCUAUUAGUUUUCUGCUUUGAAGUGACAAAAAUGCUUUUGUUAUGAAAAACAAUAACAUAAUUUUCUCCACCAAUCACCAAAUUUAUAGAUACUUAUUGAAGAAGAAUGGAAAAAUUUAGAAUAAAAUGGGUUUCUAUUUGUAAAUUUUAUUUUGAUGCCUGUAUUAAAAACAUUUUAAUUGGAAAAAUAUGAUAAAAAAAUUUUGGCAGCUUGAAAGUUCACGGAAUUUGGUCAAAAAUGGUGGUGGUGGUUGGCAACUUCUUCAUGGAAUAGUGGCAGUAAAAGAGUGAUUGUACAAAAAUGAUUGUAUGGUCUUGGCCAGUCUGUUUUGAAUAAAUCUAUCAUCAGACAGCAGGGUGGUAGUAGAGUCAACACACUUUACAGCAACUGGUGCAUCACAAUGUGCAAAACACCAUUUGGACAGACAAUCCUCUCUAAGUUCAAAACUUUGAAAACUUUGAAACUUUUUGAACCAAGCUGGAACUACAACAGAACUUUGUUGUUUUCAACAAAGGUGUAAAAUCCUGUUAGAAGAGAGAAAACGCUAUUCUCACUCCUAAAAUGUGUGUACACGUCAGUCGACUUUUCACAGUAUUUAGCCCUCUGUUUUUGUACUUCUGCUUUUGUCAGUUUUGCGUCAUUUCUGUGUUGUUCUUGUAUUGUCUUGGUCUUUUUGAGUCUUAUUUUUGGAUGAUUUACAAAAGCCUCUUGCAGACAGGUGAUGCAAAUUAGCAUUUGGCUAAAAACACUAAGUGCAGAGCAUUGGUUAAAUGUUUCAGCACCAAUGUUGCAUGACAGACAGAUAGAUAGAUAGAUAGAUAGAUAGAUAGAUAGAUAGAUAGAUAGAUAGAUAGAUAGAUAGAAAGUGCUACUAAAACCUUUAUUGACAAGUUUAAUUUCGUUUGUACACAGAUGAUAGAGGUUUAAACCCACUGACACUGGCAGGUGAGAGGUAUAUGAGCGCAGAAACAAAAAGAUAGGAAGAGAAAGAAUGCUCACCUUUCAAUCACGGCAAUAGAUCUCUCUUGCUGGUCAUUGUCGUCCCCCUCCCCUGAUCCCUUCACCUGCCUGCCUGUCCUCUCUUGCCUCAAAAGCACCCAUCACUUCAGCUCAGUGACACAAGCAGGCAAUUACUGCAAGGUGAGAAUGUGACACUUUUCACAAAUCACUUAGCUGAGAGAUUGCUUUUCUAUAUCCAGUCUGAGAUUGUGUUUGAAGGAAAAAAAAGAACAAAAGUACCACAGCAUGAAGACAUAAAACAAAAGAUCUUAUAUGUCUUCAUAUUAUUGUUCAUGAUACUUUUUUUUCGAGCAAACUUCACAUGCAUUUGUCUUUUAUGUAAAUCUGAGCCACAGUAAUCUACUGUUUGAUCAAUCAGUGUAGCUUCAUUAAACUCAAAGAGACAGUAAGUAACCUCCUGUAAUUAGACUACACGAACACUUUCCAUUACUGUCUACUUGCCCCUUUGCAGGCAACCCUAAAAUGCUAUUGCGCCUUGCAUCACUUGUUUACUUUUUAAGUAAGGUUGAAGGUUCAAGCUUCAUUCGGAGCAGUCAAUUCCUUAAGGGCAUCCUUUUGAUCUUUUCAGACAAAACUUAGCCUUUAUAUGGUGAGAUCCUCCAGCCAGCUUUGGGCGGCCCGGAUUUAAGCGACCCAGACACCCCCUGACUGAUCCCAAAUGUCUGGGUUGAUGCAGAAAUUCCAAAACGAAUAUUAAAAUAACAUAAUUAAAAGAAAUUAGGGCUCAGAAUUUGUGCCGAUAAUGUAUAUUUUACCAUUCAUCUCCCUUAACUGUGAAACAAAUGUCACACAUCUCAUUCUCUUAAUUCAAAUAUCACUUGAACAAAUACGUGAAUUGCCUCGAGUGCUUUCUUUCACACAUUAAGUGAACGGGUCUCAUUCACCAUUACUUCCCACUCUAUUAUAAUCAUUUUAAAAACACCACUUUAAGUCAGAAAACCUUUCAAGUGACAUCCUCAUUUUUUUAACACCUCAUGUCAUUUAUUUCGUCUUUUCACUCUUUUAAUAUCUAACAUCAAUCAUCUUCACUUCAGCCGUCUCAGAACCAAUCUUCUCUUCCACUCACCCUUUGUUUGUCUCUUGCCUCAUGUAUAUCUUCUGAGGACUGUUUUCAUCCCGACGUCCAGCCCCACAUCCCCCGAGGCCCCCUUGGCGAAUUUGGGUAGAGAUUGAAAGCAGGAGCGAUGGGGAUCUGACGUCCCCUUUAAUAUUUUAACAUUUAAUCCAAAGCACCACCAUGUGCUCCUUCUCUGCCUUUCCUCCUGACUGUUCAGACUCUGUGCACAAUCUUGCAGACAGAGCUAGCAUGGUAUUGCUGACUCUUUACUGUAAUGAUAAAACAAUGCCUUUGUUCUAUUUUUCUCCUCUCAUGUUACUUUAAGUUCCUGUUCAAACCACUAACUCUGCAUCUUUAUUGGUCUGUGGGGGGAAUUCACAUGUUCUGGCACAUAGUCAAGCUGGGGAAUACAACUUUCAAUGCACAGAACCUUGCAUCCGGCCCAUGACAAAAACAGUGAGUAAAAAUGAAGUCAUCACAGUUACAAUAUUCACAUGUGUCUUCUUUUUAUUUACUUAAUAUAAGGUGUUAAAGUUGUACUUCAAUUGAAAAUAGUCCUUAAUGAUACUCCAAAGAUGAGUUCCAUGGAAACAGAGUUAGCAUUUAUUUAGCCAACUUUGUUUGUGUUGCCUAAAACUGCUCAUAUAUAUACAUAUUUAUUUAUUAUAUCACGGCUGUAAAAAAAUUGUCUUUCUUUUGAAAUCCUGAUCAGUCUCUGUAUUUUACUUGUGAACCAUGCUCAUUUGCACUUUAAUUCACAAACAUAAAAUUCCAUUAUUUUUUGCAUUUCAAAAUAUUGACAAUAUAGAUAAUAAUGUAGCUAAUCUGCGAUUUUGCACCUUAAUCUCAGGGCUAUUUCAGUAACUUUUGCUUAUUCUAGUUGCCAUUCAAAAAAUAUUGAUUAAAUUGUAUUCAAACAUUUUGGAGCUCCUGUGAGGAGUUUUUAAUCGGUUAUGAACGGCUGAAAUGAGCAUGUGUCUCUAUGAUGCACAAAAGCAAAUGAGGCCAUUGAUGGCAAGACAAACAGUCUCUUUGUUGUAAUCAGUAAGGCCUGUAACGGCUGUAAAGAGGUUAGUACGCUCAAUGAACAGCCUAAUUCUUUAUUUAUUUAUUUUUUUCCCAGUUGUCAAUAAGAGGAUAUUUGGUUUCCCAAAUAACUGAGCUUUCACAAGGUAGAGAAAAAAUCUGCAAUUAUACAAGGUUAACCGUUAUGUCCACAGGGGGCGCCAUAGUCAGCACAGACUAAAAGUUCCAAACAGGAGGUUCAAUUGUUAAUCCAACAGCGGUUCACCAAAAAGAAAAAAAAAAGUCUGCUAGCCAGUCUCAGUUAAAACCAAGUGAAAACCACACACAUAUGCUUAAAAAAAAAACUCUUUAGAGCAAGAAUCAACAUGUCUAGAGGCUAAUUCAUAGAACAGUUGUUGCAUGUCUAGCUCAUUUCUCUUUUUCCACUCACCCUACAGGGGUGUGGAUUAUUUUACAACACAUGUAUUUUGAAGAUAUGAAGGUUACAAGUUUUGCAGUAUUAGAAAGCUGUCUUGACUGACAGUCGUUGAAUAAACAUUUCUUUCUUUAUUAAAAAAAUCUCUCAAUAUUCCCUUUGGUAACAAGAUGUCAACUGAGGAAGCUCUUGUUGUAAAUUGCUGGUGUCAUUUCAGCAGUCUUCAACUGCACUCUGCUUCUAAAUAUGGCUAAUUGGCUUUGGGCCCAGAAAAGUGGGCUUAGCAGGUUUAAUAACAUCACAAAAGUGGUGGAUUGUGACAUGACGUAUAGACAAAGGAAAAAGGAAAGAUAUGAUCGCAGAGUAUAUUCUGGUAAAAGAGUGUUUAAGAAAAAAAUAUGGCACAAUUUCCUCUAGGAGUUAUUGAAAGAGUAAAUAAAGAACUAUAUGUUUUUAAAUUAAACAGUUUUUUGUGUGAUUAAUGUUCCUGUUUUAUUUCAAAUCUAGGUUUUACUGACAGUAUAAACUAUAUUAUUGAAAUAGCUCCAGCUGUAAUGAUGAAGGGUAUAUGCAAAGAGCAUUAAUAAAUGCAAGUAAUCGCCUUUCAGGAGUAUAUUGGGUUGCUUGGACGGAUGGGAGAGAGGGAUUACAGUUCAUUACCACUGCCACCCACUCUCUACCUCGCUUACUGGCAUUUAAUAAAGGAAGACCUGCAGACAGAGAAGAGAAUUCAUAUAAGUGGUGAAAAGAAUUACGUGAUGGAGAAAAAUAUGAAAAGGUUGAAAGAAGAGGGCAAGACAGCCUCCUUGACUUUUGAUCAGUUGAGGUUGAGAAAAGAGCACCACCCUCAGAUUUGCACAGAUCUUUUUAGAUUCUUGUACUGAAUUAUAUUGAGUUGAUGCCGAAAAAAAAAGUGGCACAAGCACAGAAACAAAUUUGCAUGUUUUAUUUAUUUAUUUUUUUUCUUCCUCAGGGCCAAACAGUUCUAGUUAAGAUUUUUCUUUUUUCAUUGUUCACAGCACUCGCUUCACAACCACAGACACUCACUCUUGUCAGGAGUCUUGUUUGGAUCAUUACAGUCUCAGAAGCAAGAGAGAAAAUAAGGUCUGCUUAGUCAAAAGCUAAUUUUCUGCUCUCCAGUAUUGUCAUACUUGUACAGAGCAUAAUCUGCAAAAAGGAGAACUACAAAGAUGAAAUUGAAAGACUGAGUGGGUACAUGGUGCUUUUCUGUUCUGAGAUGAAAUUCAUCCCGGUUGCUCGGGGUUUCUAGGGCACAAAUUCUUAACAAAGAAGUGAGAGUGUAUGACAGCUUUCACACGUUUAUCAUUGAUUUUCCUACCAGCUUUGUGCUUUUCAUUGGUGUCUUGAGAAGUAAAGUAAAUAAUGGAAGUAGAUGGUGCCAGGCAGGCCACUGGUUGAUGAUAGAUCUUGUGCAGAUGUAUCCUUAAGACAGUUCGAGGUCUUCAGUCCAGUCCGUGAGGUGUACCUAUAGAAAACCUAUGUGACAACAGGGAAACCUUUCAAACUCUGCAAAGAAGGAGCUGUUUGGUGUCUGUCCAGACCUCUUGUAUAACUUUGAAAAAGGAAGGGUAAUAAUAAAAAGCGAAAUAACAAUUUAUUUAUUUAUUUGAAUAUGUAAUCAUUAAAGCUGGACCAUUGUUAAAGGGAUAUUCCGGCAUGAAAUUAAUUUAGGGUCAAACACUCCAUGACAUCGAGUUAGACACCCCCUCAAGAGAUGAAUGUUGACAACCCCUUGCUUCUCUAGUUAUACCAACUUUAGUAGCGACCGCAUGAUAGCAAUAUACAGCGGUUCAAGGAGCCACACGCUCAAAGAGACUAAACACAACUCACCUGCUCUCUUCCAGCAGCUGCUUGUUUGUAGUGAUACCCCGGGCCAGUCUAUUAUGGACUACAGCGGGGUGACGCAGCUCAAGGAAGAACAUUUAAGAUAAUUACUUUAUCGUUUCCGUGAAGUUAUAAUCACCAGAUUAAUAAUUUUGAACUGCAGACACAGUAGUUCUUCUGCCUUAGCUUCUCAGUCUGACUGCAUUUCCAUGAAGAAAUUAUCAUAAACAUUCAUUCUCGACAGGGUGUCUAACUCGGUGUUACGGUGUGUUUGAUACUAACUUAAUUUUACACCGGAAUAUCCCUUUAAAUUCUUUAAUACGAGCACAAAACUAGCAAAAACUGACAAAGAUUUUGACAAGUAUGAGGCAAGAUUGUUGUAGACGUAUUAAAUCCAUCAUUUUUCUACUGUGCAUCCAACCCAAGAUGUGGGCAUUGUUUAACAGUGGCAGGCUGAGUUACUUUAGAGGCACUUUAUUUAUUUUAUCACUCGUCUGCAACAAAUGCACUGUCUGCUCCAUGCUUCCUUCUCACUUUUGCAUACUUUUGGAAAUAAGGAUAAAGUUUAAAUCUCUGAAGAUGAAGAUGUGGCUGAGAGAGAAGUGAAAUGACUGUCAGUCCAGGGGUAUUUACAGGGCUUAGUCUGGACCCCACAACCCCACCCCACAAAAAGUCAAUAAAAAUAAAUAUAUCUAUGAUUGCCACAGAAAAAAAAUGUUUGAUUUGGAGAGAGAAUCAGUUCUCUAUAUAUUACCAUAGCAGAUUUGCAGAGGCAGCACUGCAUUGUAGGAGAGUCUGAAAAUUAAUUAUCCAGCUGAGGAAAGGACUCCAGAUAUUACACAAGUGUCAAGAGACUGCAACACUGCAGUUUUGAACACUUGUGCUACCUUGAGAUGAAUUUCUGAUUGAUAGAUUCAGUUUGAAGAAAGAAAAUGUGACCAAAAGUAUUGAUGAUUAAAAUGUAAUGAGUUUUUUUUUACUGACUACUACUAGACUACAAUGUUUUCACUUUUUGUUGACUACAACUCUUCAGGGCAAAAAUGAUUAAAAGGCAUUUUAAUCCAAAGACUAAGACUAUGAAUCUAAAAUAGAGGCCAAAAUUAACACUAAACCUCGCUGAGUCAGGCCUUUUAUUUAUAUACUUAUUUUUUUCAGGUACAAUGCUGAGUGAAAUUAACCGAUAAAUUGACUUUUGUUGUGAAACAUUAAUAUUUUUUUUCACAAUCUCAUGCAUCUUUUAAAUGUCUCUUAAAACGCUUUUCCCCCCAAACCACAUUAUUAACAUCUGAACAAAUGUUUCCCCCCAAAAGCAGAUCAACAUGUUUAAUUUCAUGCAUGAAGUUUCAACUAAAAUCUCCGCUGAGGGUCACUGAUGUCCUCCACAUAUCUUUUCCCCCUCACUCCUUGGCCAGACUGCUUCCAUGCUGUUCCUGUGUGUUUGUCCAUUAAUCUCCCAGUAUGCUGACUGGUAACUGUCUGCCUAAGAACCUAAUGCAUCAUUUCUGUCUAGGGCUGGGACUUACUUAACCAGGCUGUAAAAAGAAAACUUUUCACUGUGGUGUUAAAAGCUACUGAUGAAAAAUCCUUAAACAAACGGAAAAGCUUCUCUAAACCGUUCUGCAUCAAACACCUGAUACAUGAGUUUUCUUUGUUUUGUUGUUGUCAUUAAUCCUUUUCUGUGAGUUGUCACUAGUGGCUCAUGAGGGGAGUUUUGGGGUGUUAGAGCAUCCCAAGUGCAGAGAACAUUUUAUCUGACAGCAGGCCAAUGGAAUAAAUAGCAUUACCAGAACAGGCACAAUAUGUGAGCACACUGUGACAAGUGCACAGUACAUUUCUAGCACCUCACCAGAUAAGGCCUUUAAUGUUAUUUACUUCUGACUUUUCGAUGAUUACCUCAAUGAGCCUCUUGUGGAGGCAUGUGUGCCAACACAAGCAGAUAAAUUUGUCUGCACCAGUGUGGGCAACCUAGAGUGUGUGUGCAUGUGUGACUCAGGGGGAAGUGGAGGUUAUUUCGAUGGAGCGGUGUUCAUUUUUCCCCUAACACCCUUCAGCAGCUCCAGCCCAUAUUGACUUCCCAGACUCAUCUAUUCUCAUUUAUGAAAUGAUGUCAAAACUCCAUGGCAACCAUUCUACCAGUAGCCCAAGGCUUGCUAACCAGAAAGAGUCAGAAAAACAGGGGCACUAAACGCAGAUGAACACACAUGACAGAUAUAACCAUUGGAGUAGCACUGAAAGUGUGCGACAAGUGUGUCAAAGACAGUUUUUUCUCCAUGAAGGAUUAGCGAUUAAACACUGAGGAAGAGUUGAACAGAAUAUGAAAAACAUCAAAUGGCAGCAGUUCAAUAGUAUGCUGUAUUCACCCUCCCACAGUUGCCACAGCUGCUUUAAUUUCUUUCUCAGUUAGACAGAGAAUGAAAUCACGCAGCCCCUUGUCUUCACAUCUUUGAAAAAAUAAAAAAAAAAAAUUAUAUGUAUAAAUUAUUUUUGUGUUAGAAAUUGUUAAAAUGCGAAAACAAAGUCAACAUACUUUAAUCUUUUGUUGAAAAACUUUUUCACAUGGCUUGUUCGAACACUUACUUUUGAUUGUUCAUUUACAGCUUUUUAAGGUCUGCUUCUUGUACAUGAAGUACCCUAUAAAGAUCUGACUAUUGCUAAGAGACAUUAUUUACUAUGGAGGAGAAGAAAAAAGAACAUAAAAACAGUAAAAAAGUGAAAGAGAUUACCAAGUACAAAAAAACUGCAUAUAGAAAUUAAAAACAACAAAAACUUGGCAGUUGAAUGACUCCCUGAACUUGACACAGUUCAGGAUGAGAGAAAGUAUAAAUGCUGCUGAAAGGUGAGAAAAAAUGUGUACAGAUCCUGAUAGUGAUAAGGCAGAAAAACUGUUAUCUGUGCUGCAGUGAUUCACCCAGACCUUCUCACCUUAUCCUGCUUCAUAAUCAAUUGAAGUGCUCGGUGUAAAGUGAGCAAACAGCUGAGUAGACUGAUUCAAACAGGUGACAAAAGCAGUAGAAACAGUUCAAAUGUUUUUCCAACAUGAUUCUAAGACCCACUGAAAGGACCCAAAACACAAGCUGUCUCUUGGUAUUUAAAUAAAAGCUGUGCAAACCUGCAAGGCAUCAUAAAAUUUGGUGUAGCAAAUUCAGUUUCAUUAUGUUUUUUUUUUUUUUUUUUUAGUCCACAAAAUGAGCUGUACAGUGAUGAGUAUGAUGACUUGUAAAGUGAUGGUGCAAUUGAAAAUACUUGUUAAAUUAAAACAAACAUUGCGCAGUAGCGUUGUACGCACUCCUCCACUUGCACAGUAGCAUUGUGCGAGUCGCCAAGAGUCGCUGUGAUGACACUCAGCUCAAACAGCGUAUUCACCGGGUGAGCUACGCAAUCCUUGUACGCCCAUAGGCUGUAUCAAGUGUCAAUCAUAGAAAACAUGAGCCCCGUAAUAACUUUUAAAAACGGAACUGUACAGAAAAAAAGAGGACUUGAGCACAAACCAGUCUUACAAUAACUACAUGUCAGAUAAAUUCUAAAGUUUGUCCAAAGCCCCAUAAGCUUUGCUUUAUGACCUAUACUGCAGCCCGUCAACAGAGGGUGCUGUUCUCAGAGUGGCUUCACCCAGCAAGGAGGCAGACGCUGUCCAUUCUAUAUACAGUCUAUGUGUAGGACUAAAACAUCUUGAAUGCAGCAAUACUCUUCCCACAUGGAUACAAUUCAAACCCCUUUUCCAUUUUGGAACCUGCCAGAAAAAUAAAAACAGAGUGUGUCUUAGAGAAGGUGACACUUAUUUUCUGUAUUUGGUGGUAAUAUGUGUUUAAACAUCCCAAAUUACUUUUGUUAAGGCAUGUUGACAUUUCAUUUUAGGAGUUUAUUGUAAGCAUCAAACUACAACAUGGCCUGUUUGUAAUCAGUGUCCAACCCAGGGCCGGGUCUAGAAAAUGAUGACUAGGGGUGCAUCUCAGAUCAGAGGGGGUGCACAUGCCUGGCACGUUAUUCAACACUAAAUUAUGCAUUUUCCCGUCAUUUCAAGCGGAAUGAAACUAGUCAAACAAGAAUAUUUAAAAUGUCUUUCAUAUGCUUUAUUGUAGCAAAAUUGUUGUAGAAAAAGGAAAUGCAGAUGUUUCUUACCCUGAAUAUUUAACAUAGAAAUUCAAACUAUUUUUAACUAUACAGCUCAAAACCAUCACUAAACAUGAUAGUCAUUUCAUGGGGAAUGAUAAUAGUCAAACAAGAACAUUUAAAGUGUCUUUCAAAUGCAGUUUUGCAGCAGACGUUUCUUACCCUGAAUAUUUAACAUAGAAAUUCAAACUAUUUUUAACUAUACAGCUCAAAACCAUCACUAAACAUGGCAGUCAUUUUAAGUGGAAUUCUACCAGUCUCAAAUGCAUUUUUGCAGCAAUAUUGUAACAGAUGUUUCUUACCCUGAUAUUCAGGGUAAGAAACAUCUGCUGUUAAGAUUGCCUGAUAGGUGAGGUAGCCCAGACUAAAUGGAGCAUUUUCUUUUUUCUGCUACAAUAUUGCUGCAAAACUGCAUUUGAAAGACACUUUAAAUAUUCUUGUUUGACUAUUAUCAUUCCACUUCAAAUGUCGGGGGGGCCGGGCGCCUGCUCUGGGCCUUGGGGUGAAGGGAGGGGGGGCUGUGGCGGCAGCGGCUCGGGCAGGAGUGAGCAGCCGGACGAGGCUACUGCUUGCUCCCCAGCAGCAGCUGCUACGCCAGCUUCACAAAGCUCAAGUUGGGAUUGAGUCUCUUUCUCACCACGACCACCGUUGUCUGACUUGAUGGCGUGGUUGUGCUGGAACCACUUUCGAAUAUCCAUUGUUUACUUUGUGCUAUCGGUGCAGCAGAGAGCAGCGUCUUGCGAGUGCAGGUAACUGCGCGCUGCACGCAGGCAGAUGAGUGACGUGCCCUGACGCGCGCGCACUUCUCCCUCUUUCCAACUGAGCAUGCAGCCACAUAAACUGAGGGUGCAAUGCAUGCUUAUGCACCCCCGUAGAACCGGGCCUGGUCCAAACUAACAUGACUUUUCGCUAACAACGAAGGGAACGUAUUUAUAAAUACUUGACAUAGAUACUUCUGCAAAAAAAUUAAACUGUAUCGUCAUGCAGCAUGCUCACCAACAUUAAAAGCACAUACAGUAUAUCACAGAAUAAUAAGCUGUAAGUAUCUUGCUCUCUGUAAAGAGUGCAGCUGCUUCAGGCGAGACGUGCUUCCAGUGUGCAGGGGUGCACACCCUCAGGUGGACCAAAAGCUAAACUUAGUGCCUCCUGUGGGUUUUCAGGGUAACCACAACUCCAUCUUUCACUUUUCUCUAAACAGACAUGUUGAAGUGCUUCAAGAAUCCUUGUACUCUUUGAAGUGCAUUACAGAAUUAAAUUUCUUAACAUGAUUUUUUGACCAAUGCCGUCUCUUGGAUGUAUUCAGUUUUUUUAAGUAGUCCUUAAGUACUCUUAAGAAAUGAAUAGGUGUUAUCAUGCUUGUUUUGUCAUAAUACAGGCAAUGAAAUAAUUACAACAAUUGCACCUCUCACAUUUAUUACUAGACAGCUCCUCCGUGGGUGUCAAAGAAGUCGGCUCAUACCACAAUUAAGAACAGCCAGUGAAAGCUGGAAAACAUCUGAGCACACUGCCCCCUGAUAGCACAUCUAUUUACUUUCUCUCCACAUCUGACAGCCUUUGAAGACUUGUAAAUUUCCCUAUUAAAUUUCUGUUGUAAUUAAUGAAACAUUGUAAUUAAGUGGGUAUAAACAACGAGAUAUGGUUUGAUAUGGAAACAAGAAAAUUAUAUUUGCAUUUAUGUGCAAUUAUUUUUCUCUUCUCACUGUGGUUUCUCCUCCAUGUUACAGCUCAGUGGUUUAUGUGUUUUUUUCUUUCUUUUUACAUCUCUCAGAAAAUAUUAAAAAUAUUAUGUGGGGGGAAAAAAAUGUUUCAAACCUCAUUACAGUAAUCAGCAAGGCAGAGUUUUGGACAAUUUUCCCAACAAAUGAUUUGCAUAAUUCAAUUUCUAGUGCACUAUCAAAACCCAGUAUGUGUUUAAUGCCUUAGCACAAAUAGUAAUACGUCUACGAUACUGAAACAAAAUUAUGUUUUACCCCCUUUUGGCCUCCCAGCUGUUUCCACAGAGUUUGUGAGAGAGGAGCUUAAUACUGAACUGCUGCUGAUAAUUUCUUGUUACAAUAAACUCAUUUUAACAAAGAUAAUUGUUGUGGUUUUCAGUUCCUUCCAAACUAACUUGUCCGUCUUGAAAAUGUUUAUCAUUUGGCACUAAUCUGUUCCAGCCUGAGCAGGAUGAGUCAUUAUUUAUAUCCAAUCCUAAUCUUUGUUUACAGUUUACUGACCAAAUACUGCAGUAACAUCUAUUUAGAAAAUAACUAGUCUCAAUUUCACUUCUUCCUUGUUAAGUGGGGGAUUAUGCAUUUUUUCAGACUCUAUAUUUCCUUUCUGAUACCUCUUUCAUAUCUUAACAUGAUUUCCAGAUUUUAAAAAAGUCUUAAAUUUCUCACAGAGGUGUAUUAGAAUAUCAUUAUUCCAGCCUCUGUUUAAAAUGCUUUUGUUUAGCUGCUGUCUCUUUAAGGUCCCCCCUCCACAAGCCCACUUUCUUCUAAUUGGCCACCUCUCCAGAGGCUUUAUAGAAGCCAGUCGAGGGCAGAGCUCAAUGUUUUGGCCCCACUCUCUCGAUUGUGGUCAAUCAGUCAAGCAGUGCUACCCUGCUCGGCUGUGGUUGUCAACUGAAACCCUUAGAGCAUAGAUGCAUUUUCGCGCUUUUGUCCAAGAUUACAGUGGUUUACAUCUAGAAUUGUGACAAAGCGCUACCUUAUGAUUUAAAACUUGGUACAAACUUUGUACCUUUGCAUUUUUUGUUGUAAAUUUGUUUGGCAUCCAAAAGACUUGAUUCAUUGCAUAUCAACAUUAGUUUUAAGAAUUAAACAAUUGUUUUUCUCAAAGCUAUAUUUGGCAUUCAGGUUAAACAGAAAGCACCAAUAGUCCAUUGAAAUGUCCCAUUCAAUCCAUGUGCAGAAACAUUUCUAGAUACUAAAAGUCAUUCUGUUGUCCUCUGAGCAGGUGGAGUUGUAGAGGAUUUAUGACCGCUUUACACAAAAGUGGGACAGUUGCUUUUUAGCAGUGUGAAAAUGAAGAGUAUAUGUGUAGAUGCACAUGGUGAAUAUACAUGUUAAUAGGACUGUGUUAAUUGUGGCUGGUUUGAUUUUGCAUGUUAGCCUCAUAUGCUGCAGAUGAGACAUGUGAAGAUGAGGCUUUGUAAAGUAAAAGUAUUGACCUUAAUCCGAGUAGCUCUUGGAUUGUCUAUAAUUAAAGAAUUAGUCAGUGAUAGUUUGAUAAUAAUUGGGUCAGGACAUCUCCAAAAGUGCAGUUCAUGUGGGGUGUUACUGCUUUGCAGUCUUACCCAUCAAAAGUAGUCCAAAGAAGAAAACUAGUGACCAAGGCUCAUGAAGAGAACCCUGCAAGUAUUAGAACUGGACCAUGGAACAAUGGAAGAAAGUGAGAAUGUAAACCCUUUCAGACUUAUGAGGGAUGUGCUGGAAAACCAAGUCUGAUCCACUGAGGUGCCAGAUACCAAAGCAGGCCUUCAACAAUCUAAUCAGGUCAGGGCUAUUUUGAUCUUGAUCUGAUGACAAGGAGGCCUUCACAAUAUGAGACAGAUGGCUUAUAUAUAAUGGCUGAUCAGUGUAUAUUCAUGUAAAUCAUGUGCAUAAUGACUGGAUGUUUGAUAUAGGGUAUAGGCUUUGAUGUCAUCAUGUCUGUACUGAAAUAACUUUAGUCAUAUUAAAGGCAGAAAGAUAAUAAGAACAGGUGAGGUCUGAUUGGUUAACGAGAAAGUUAAAGGCAUGUUUGAUGAUUGGAGAGAUUGGUAAUUAUUAUGAAUCUUGUUUAUAUGGCCAUCGUGGUCCUAUAGUGUGAUCUCCACAAAGUGAAGAGAAAAAGAAUGGAAAAAAUCCAUUCAUCCUAGCAGAUGCAGGGCUACAAAAACAUUGACCAAUGGGAGCCGUCCGUCCCGGACAGCUCCCAUUGGUAAAUCUCCUGCUCCGCCUCUCCAUCCAAUCACCUCACUGUAUUCAACACACCCCUCUCCCAUAGUUCCGACUCGUCCCCUCCCACUCUCGCGGCCGUCCUACGAGCUCUGAGCAGCUAAAAGUAGCACAGCAGCUUAGCUACAGGAGCUGUGAUGGAGAAGGACGCAAAAAAGGAAAAAAAAAAAACACUUCCGCUUGCCCCACCGCCAAAAGUGCUAAGAAAACGCAAGCCGUCAUAAAAAAAGGCGAAGAGAAAAUGUGACCAAGCGAGGAAUCUAACUCUAAUAAACAUCGGGUCAUCCUUCGAGCGGUGAAGAAAACAGAUGCUGAGACAGCAGAGUUUUUGUUGAACAGGUAAUUUUUGCCUUUUAUCGUGGCACAUUUACAUAAAUAACUCUUAUUAGUCGCUGCAAUGUCAACAGGGUAGCUGUCCAGGCAGCAGCAGACGGUGCUCGCUAGCAGAGCUGGCGUUUCCUGCCGCUUAGGCCUGUCACGAUAACAAAUUUUGCUGGACGAUAAUUGUGCUACAAAUUAUCGCCGAUAAACGAUAUUAUUGACACCGUUUUUUAAAUCAUAGAUAAUUAUAUGAAAUGGCAUAAUAAUGCGAGUACACCGUGUCAAAAGUGAUAAACUUUAAUUUCACCCACGACGAAGACGUAACGUUGACGAGCUAAACAUAAGUCGGAGAUGACUAAAAUGUGACGAGACGAAAGUGCGUUUACGUUGAUGGGACGACACGAAAAUGACGAACAGAGUUGCAAAACUCAGUCAGUUAAACGCUAAACAUAUAGGAGCAGCUUCAGUCCGCUCUGACAGCUCUCAUCAGCCUGCUGUGCUCCUCCAACACACAGACACACGCGCGCGCACACACACGCGGAGUUUUGUGGUUGACGAUAACAAAACUGGUUUAAAACCGAAAUAUUCCCACACUUGGGCUGUUGCGUUCGGUUUAGACACCAAAGCUGUCGUGUUCAUUCUGUUUGCUUGCUUUUCACUCACGACGCUCACUUGCAGCACUGUAUCCAAAAGUCUGUGUCUGUGUGCCUGUGCGCGCCUACGUGUACCUGCGCGCGCGCCCCCUCGUAACAAAGACACUGAAUGACUGACAGGAGGGUUCACUAACUCCGUUCAUUCCGCUAUACAGCCAACGCCCCCAGGUGCCGAGAAAAAUGCGCAGAGUGAGUCCUCUUCUCUCAUCCAGCGUGUUUGGUAGCGAGAGAGGAGGAAAACAAACGCACGUAAAUUAUCGAGGCUGGCAAAAUGACCGACCUCGUUUUUAUUUAUCGAGCGAUAAGGCGAUUUAUUGAUUAUCGCGACAGGCCUACUGCCGCUAGUCACCAGCAAUCCGACAUGGUGAAUUGCAGUUGCAGCUAGCGUAGGAUCUUCUGCCGGCCAGCUUCUUGCUCUACAAGAUGGGGUGUGUUGUGGGGAGGGUGAUAUAGGUUCGGUGGGGGUUAUCGUGGAGCACAGAGGGGAGAGGUUUGUGUGUGUGUGUGUGUGUGUGUGUGUGUGUGUGGGGGGGGGGGGUUCAGUUUUUUUCAGCUACUUCUCAGAUCGUCAACCAUGCCUUUAAUCGGUAUUUUUACCUUAAACUUACACAAAAACCCAAGUAAGUACACACGAUUCAUGGUAACACCAGUAAUCUUUUACAGAGCCAUUCAUAAAAACAUUGUCAAAAAUAUACUAUCUUUUCUCUUUAAUUAAUCCUUUGCAGCAGGAAUAAAAAAAUACAUAAACAUUGUAAUUGCAGCACGACCUGCCAAGAUCACCCAAUCUGUUUGAGCUCCUGUGCCCUGCAGCCUGUAACAUCCUCAAAUAUGUUUAGUUUUUCAUAUAACGUCUUCCCCGUUUUAUCCUCUCACCACUGCUGCUCAGCUUCAACUCCAGUGUUGCUUCAUUACUGACGACCCACUGGCAGUUGAGGAUUAAAGUCCUACUGGUGACACGCGUGUGUGUCUCAGAGCAUGUUUGUGCAUUCAUAUCAUCAAUGAAGUGUUUGUGCGUGUAUAUGUCUGUGCCUGCGUUCACACAAGCACUAAUAGUGUGGAGGAUAAGGCAGUUAUUGAUCCAAGACAGACACAGUAUUAACUGGGAUAACUUGUAAAGUCCUGUCAUCAUAACUGUCUGAGACAGCUGUCCAACUUAAUGAAAGCACUUCCCAAAUGUCAAGUGGUUAACACCAGGCUGUAGGGAAGCCAUAACAAAACACCCCCACACACACAAAGAAAUACAAACACACACACAUUCACACUAAGAGCCAUUACAGUAAUUGUCAGCCACAAAUAUUCAUCACACACAAAUCUCUGGCAGGUUGCCUCUUGAUAAAAAAAGAGUUAUUAAGUCAUCAACGAAUCUGCAGACAAAUGCACACACUAAAACACUUAAAACCAUUUGGCUGUAGAUCCUCUGCCUAAAAUGAAACAUGCAAACACACACAUAUAUAUAUGCAUACACAUAUUUAUCCCCAAGACAACCGAUUCUACUCAGUUUGAGGUUUUUGACUCAUGCACAGAAUGCACUGAAUGUCAUUCCCUCCCAUCAUGCAAACUACUAAUGAUGAUACUUGCAGCUUCUUCAGUACAGUGUUUCCUAGAUAUAUAUCAUUACUCGUAAUUACGUGUACUUACUGUACACAUAAGAAGAAGAAACACCUCCAUUUUUUUUCCUUGUCAUGUUAAGUGCAUUGUCGCAGCAUUGUGAAUCCUCGUGAAUCAGACAUAGUCACAGGAGCUACAACUUACUAACAAUGACGGCGGAGAUUUCACAAUGUAAUCUGUAAAGAGAGCGAGUUGGGUUUACAAGAGCUGGUAUAUCCUGGCUUUUGAAUGGUUUUGUUGCUUUACAGAUAAAAACUUGCAAAAAAAAUGCAAACUGAAUAAUUAUCAUAACAGUCCAAAUUUAAGACAUUAGUCACCUUUCAUUACAUGUGAUUAAAUGUCUAAUCUUCUCGUAUUAGAAGUCCACACUCUUUCAUGCCAGCCAGUGUAAUGUCAACUGAGCAGUAGAGUGCCUGAUUUUCUACUUUUACCCGAAUGCCACUUGUCACAGAGGGAAUUGAUCGAUACAGAAGAAAAGAGAAAACAGCUGGACCUGUUUGCUGUCAGGCUGUUAAGUUUGCUCAACAAAACACAACAACAGGUUUUUGUCUUUUUGUCAAAGAUGAGCAGGAACAUCACUGAACUAAAGUUUCUUGCUCUCUGGCUGAAAAGGAGGGAGAUUAACAAUCAACCAGAGCGUAACAUGCAGUGAAUCACAGAGCAUGCUUAUAAUCAGCGUUACAGUCUCCCACAAGCUGAUCAGGAUGAAGUUGUUACAGAUGUGCACCACACUGAUAGACAGCUCUGCUUCCCCUCUCUGUCAGUACAGUAGUGUGGCAUUGAGGUGCUGUCACCUAGCACAUCAUCAAAGAAUUAAUUUAUUUCAGUUUUUAAAAGUUCUUCCUGGAUUGUUUGGAUGGAAUAUUCAAAUGUAAUUUUUUGGUUGGACUACUGAUGUAAAGACAUACAGAUUUAUCAAUAAAUCAAUUCAUCAAACUUUAUUUUUAAAGCACUUUUCAUACAUAGAAUGUAGCACAAAGUGCUGUCCAUUCGAGCCAGAUAUUAAAAACAAUGAAAUAAAAUAAAUAAGAAUACAAAUACCAAACCCCAACCAUCCUCCCAGCCCCAUUUAACACAUACAGCACUCACACACACACAGAUGCAUACACAAAAGACCAGGUGAGGACUCUUUAACUUCCCACAGAUGACUGAGGAAACACUAUCUUGAGUUUAAAAAAAUAGAGGAAACACUGGAUCUAGGACUAAAGCGAUAAAAUCUUAAUAAAAUAUAAUAAAGGUGAUAAAGCGUUAAAAGUUUAUUAAAUAAAACAGUCUUAAAAACAUACAAUAACAGAAAGUAAAUUUAAAAAGAGUUAAUAAAACACAAAAUAGUUACUCUGGGACAAAAAUAGGGUAAAAUCACAUAAUACAGAUUAAAAGAGUAAAACAAAAUUCAACUAAAAGCCAGACUCAAAAGGUAGGUCUUGAGUUUACUUUUAAAAAUAUUAACAGUAUACAGUUUAUAGAUAUUAAACACUUAUUUUACCUCAGUACAUCACAUACCAACUAUUCAGAAACCAAUGUUUGUUUCUGAUCUGUUUUGAGGAACCCUCUCAGUGACUGUUUUAAAGGCUGUGUUUUCUCCAUCAUUAAGCUCCGGUGAUGUUCAGAGUCUGUUGUGUUUACAGUGAUAUUUGCAGGCUGCUGUUACAUAUCCUCACUCAUCAUUUCUUUGAUGUUGUUCCUCUCUCCUCUGGGACAACACUUAGCAUGGUAGAUUUGGAAAUACGUCCAAUUCAGCCAGGGACCAAGGAGACAUCUGUUAAGAUCCUUGGGAUCUGGGGAGAGUUUCCCACUGUGAAUGUCAGUGCUCUUUUCUAAAUUGUUUGGUAUAAUUACGUUUUUGUCACCAGGUGGUGACAGCAGUUUUGAAUUUUCAAACAAGUUGAAGCGCACAAAUAAGUUUCCUCCUACUUGAAUGGCCCAGAUAUUUAAUUCCGAGCAUACUUUGACCCCUGCUACUCUAAAAUAUAACAGCGCUGUGUUGUUCUCACAACUCAUUAUUUUACUCUGUUUCAAAGAGAAUUGAAAAUUAACUGCAGAGCUCCAUUGAAAGAACAUCAAACACUUGCUGUGCAGUGUGAUUACAAAUUAUCUACUUUCAAUUCUCUACCUCACACCUGCAAAUUUAUCUUUUCCUUACAUUCCUUAUAGCCGACACAUUACGCGCCUCUGUACUCAGGUGUCAUGUCGGAUAGGGAAACUUGCAUUUGGGCAAUCAAAAAGGGGCCCAGUCAUUUCCUGAGAAACUCAUUUACUGUGAUCACUCUUCCAUUGCUUCCUGCUCUUUGCUUCCACACAUGUUUACACAAUUUGUUAGAGCACUUGGUCCAUCACAAUUAGGAGAGGAAAGGAAAACCCUGCUCUGACCCCCCCGGGCGUGGUGUGUGUGUGUGUGUGUGUGAAAAAAAGAAAUGGCAGGCAAAUUAAAUGAUAUCAUGGCUUUUUAUAAUUAUUAUUAUUGUUCUCACUGUCGUAUUCAAAACAUAUUUUUCUUUUAUACAUAAUGCAACUGUUGCUUUUUUCCUUUUCUUUUUGCUUUGAAAGCGCCUGUUUUUUGUUAAUUGCCUUGGCAUCACUCAAGCACAGCCUUGCCAAUAAAGCACCUUGAAAUUGAAAAGUGAAUUGGAACUGAAUAGAGGGAGGAGAUUCUCUCUCCCUUUCUUUCCCUUUUCCUGCAGCUGGUAAGGCAGGAUUAGGCUUGGCACAGAAAGAGACAAAAGGGAGCACGCAUUUGUGGAUGUGUAUUCAAGUGUGUGCAUGUGUCUGUGUGUGUAGAUGAGUGCCUGAGUGCUCGCACUGUCCUGGAGUCAGGGCAGCAAGGUUUAUAGGGGACUCAAUUAGUUCAGCCCAAACACAAAUCCUGAAUCUUCCACAUUCCAGGUCUUUCCAGGAUAUGUCGUGGAAAACACCAAAGCUCUGCUUGUGACUCGGAAAACCUCAAAGUCCUUCCCCUGGCCCGCUUAUCCCUGAGAAUCCCCGCACAGAGGGGGACUAAACGGAUCACAGUUGGAAUCCCACGAUCAGCCGCUGCUCUGGGUUUUCAGAUGUCGCUCUAGUUUGUUUGAGUGCAGGUGAUUUGGCCCCAGGUCUGCUGUUGCAUGUUUUAUUUUUGUUGUGCUUGCAGAAAUCAUGAGGCAAUCAUUUCUUUGUUGAGUAAGCGGAAAGUUAUGUCAUUAAACUGCUCUAAACCUGGUCAUGGUUUUGUUUUAACCCGCAAUACUUGACUUUUUUUUUUUUGUCCAACUAGUCCGUCUAAAUACACUUCUGAGGGCAGUAUCAGUACCUCUGAUAAGCUUUGAUUAGUCAAGUGUGAGGAGCAGAGGUUGAAGAAGAGCAAUCUAUCUGACAGACUCACUGAUAGAGGACAGGAAGAUCCAGAUCCACAUUAACAAGCUGGUUGAUAAAAUCAGACCAUACUGUGUCUGAAUUGAUGUAGCUUCUUACUAUUUAAAGGGAUAUUCCAGCAUAAAAUUAAUUUAGAGUCAAACACACCGUAACACCGAGUUAGACACCCCCUUAAGAGAUGAAUGUUGCGGACUGCUUGCUUCUCUAGUUAUACCAACUUUAGUAACGACCGCACAAUAACAAUACACAACGGUCUGAGGAGCCAUUAACAAACCUCGACCAAAACACCACUCUAUAGCCACAAAUAAUGCUUAGAACAGCACCUAACUUCAUCAACAGUACAUAUAGGGUCCCAGCCACAGUACUAGCCACCAAACGUCUUUUUAACUUUGUCUAAUUUCUUUAUUAAAGAGACUUUUUCUGCCUUAGCAUCUUGGUCUGAUUGCAUUUCCAAAUGUCCAAAGACAUGACUUUAAGUGACUUUACAACACUAAACCACAAGUUCUCUCAUACUCUUCAAAACCUGCCUACAAAUUCAGGAUUGAUUAGAAAAUAUCCUUUGUUGGUUAAAUGAUUCUAUCAAAAAAAAAAUUUACAUAUGGAUACCCCUUAUACAUUAUUAGUUACUUGUCUUGAAUCAUACUGAGAUAGGGGUAAAAGUCAUUAAACAAGGAAGAUUUUUACUAUGCACUUCCAGAAAGAUGUCGGAAAAAAAUUUGAAAAUAAAGACAAAUUUUUAAGAACAACACCUAUAUAGCAUGUCUCCAAAUCUCUGUGUAUGUGGUGUCAGUAAUGUGCUCAUGUUGCUGAGGGUUUUUUUGCCACUGCACUCAAUGAGAGCAGUCUCUUUUUUUUUACCUCCUCCUCUCCCUCCCUCUUGUGUGUACUUUCCCCAUCUGUAAAUGCAAUUUCGUUGUGCACAGUUGCAAUGACAAUAAAGACCAUACCAUACCAUACCAUACCAUAGAUUGAAAAUAAAGUCAGCAUGACAAAAAAAAAAAUACAUUUAAUUUCAAGAGUAAAGUCAGUGGUUGCUGAGUGGUGAGGACACCCUAAUAUAAGAAAAAUACCACAAGGUUGGAAUGCUCAGUUACUGGCCAAACACCAGAGCACUGCUUUGUGUCAGUUUGUGAAUAAAAAGAUAAUGUGUUAUCAAAAAAAAAAAACAUUAGACGUGAAGAGAUGCAACAUGAAAUCUGCUCCUGCGCUGUCUAUCAAGGUUUAAAGCAGCACAAAACACUCAAUAAGCUUAUACCAACAAGGCCAAUACCUCUCAUUCACAAGCUCCGUUCCCCUUCCUCCUUUUUUGUUGCGAACUCGUCUUCCUCUCUCAACCUAUGUCUUGCUUCGACCUGUCAGGUCACCUGAACAGAAGGCCAUGCUAACCUUUUUUAUCCUUUGUCCUCUGCAGCAUGUUGACCUGCAUGCUACCCUGGCUUAUAACUCUUGUUGACUGUGCACUUGAUUACUUUGUACCGGUUCAGAUUAUUCUGGUUCCUUUGUUAAAAUACUGACUUUGCACAUCAAUUUGAUUCAUAGGAAUAGCCUUAUUUAUUUAAAAGUGUUUCUUUUUUUUUCUUUCUUUUUUUUGCUUGCCUUUAGGCUGCAAAUCAUCUCUGUGCCGACUGACAUCAAUAAAGUAAGUGAAACAUUUGAAAGAAAUAAAACGUGGAGAAGAUUUAAGGUAUACCCAGCUACCAAAAUUCACUCUUUUACAUUCUCUGUUGUUCUCCGUUGGCCCAAAGUGCCAACAUGCAGUGAAACGCAUCAAAUGAAGGAGAAGAACUGGGUAUAGACUGUGUGUGGUCUGUGAUCAUUUACACACUGCAGCGUGUCUUACUGUGAUAAGUUGUGUGGGAAAAUGUAUAGAAUGGUUAUAUUAAUGGUUUAUACUAAGCAUGGAUAUUUGUUAGGUCAGAUGCAGUUUAUCUGUAAGGUCAGUUGAUGUUUAUCAGGAACAUCAGAUUGGGUUUUCCUCUAUUUGUUUAUGUCACAUUGACUCCAAAACACUGGGAAAUAUGACAGUGCUGGCUGAUAUCCAGUCUCCUGGUGAUCGGGCUGGGAAAGAGACUCACACUUUGUAAUGCACACAUAUUGUUUUACGUUUACAAACACAUUCACUAGCAUUAGAGUGAGGGAAAGGAGAGUGAGGGGCUCCUACAAGGACUUCAGUUAGGACCUUGUUGUCAGAUGUACUGAAUUCUAUGUCUGUAUAACGCAGUCGCCCAGGCUGCUCUUCAUAUCUUGUUCUGUCUCCUAAACCUUAAUUUGCUGCAUCCUUUACACAUUUACCAUAACAGUUGUAAUGUUAAAAUGUCUAGAUUAUCAUUGUCAUUGUCUUAAAUCGGCUUCAGCCAUUCUUCUCCUUUUUUCAUCACAUGGAUUUCAUUGAACAAAACACUAAUUACUGUCUCAGCAGACUGAAAGGUUUAAAAAAAAGAAAGACAGAAAAUACCAGGGACAUUUUUCUUCACAAAGUGCAAAAUAAUAAUUUAAAAAAUCCUCCUCUCAUUUAUUUUUCUAAACUUUGGUAGUGCUCCCCCAUAAGGUUCAGACCAAUAGUGUGGUAUAUCACACUGGCAAUUCAUUUUUAGGUGCUACUCUAUACUCCACCAAAAGACUAACUAGAUGCCUCCAAGUGCCACUCCUCUGAGUGGAAUUUCCCAAGUGCUUUUAAAUCCAUUGACAGAGUAGAUAUAAAAAUAAACUUCAACAGCAAUUUUGGAUGAAGGCAUAAUAAGGGUCUGUGUCAGGAGAGUAUUUGCGAUACAGCUGGUUCAGAAUUGUUGGAUAUGAAGCAUCGGUUUAGCUUCGCCUACCAAGGGUGCAGACUGGAUGCAAAUAGCCUUGAUGCAUGAUGGCGUGUACUCGACCUUGGACCAACUGUAAUAAAUAAUAAACAAGAAACAAGAAAACGCCUGCAUAGAUGUCAGGCUUACUGUUUACUAUAAACAGCAGAACAAUUAUAGUUUAACUUUCAUUGGUUAAAUUACACUUCAGUUAUCUGCUCUCCUGACAACAGCCUGCCUGGUGCAUGUUGACUGCUGUAUGGCGGUCUGGUGUUUGACACAACCCAGGAACACAAAAAACAAAUCGGCUCCGCUGGCCACUUACAGUGGUGAGAAUGCAGGGGCUAUAGUAUUUGCUGCUGUGGUUGUUGGGUUGACCCCGUUGCGUCAUGUAUACCCUCAUUUUCUACUCCUCACAUUUCCUGCUUUCUGGCCCACAUUACACCGGCUUUAGAAUCAUUGCAUUGGCUCCACGUCUGUUUUAGGGUUUUUUUUUUUUACUUGUUUUUAAAUGUCUUAAUGGUCUUGGGCCUUCUUAUCUUUCAGAACUGCUUAUACCUUAUGAACCCUCCACGGACCCUGCGCUCCUCUGGCAGAGGUUUCCUAGUCAUUCCAAAAGUCAGGACACACACUCACGCCGAGGCGUCUUUCCAGUAUUAUGGCCCCCGCCUGUGGAACAGCCUGCAAGAGGACCUCAGGGCCACAGAGAACAUUCAAGUUUUUAAGAACAGGCUCAAGACCCA